UACGUAGGGUGCAAGCGUUAAUCGGAAUUACUGGGCGUAAAGCGUGCGCAGGCGGUGAUGUAAGUCAGAUGUGAAAUCCCCGGGCUCAACCUGGGAACUGCAUUUGUGACUGCAUCGCUGGAGUGCGGGAGAGGGGGAUGGAAUUCCGCGUGUAGCAGUGAAAUGCGUAGAUAUGCGGAGGAACACCGAUGGCGAAGGCAAUCCCCUGGGCCUGCACUGACGCUCAUGCACGAAAGCGUGGGGAGCAAACAGG
rnacentral:rRNA from 1 species